rnacentral:rRNA from 1 species
UACGGGAGGCAGCAGUGGGGAAUAUUGCACAAUGGGCGCAAGCCUGAUGCAGCCAUGCCGCGUGUAUGAAAAAGGCCUUCGGGUUGUAAAGUACUUUCAGUCGUGAGGAAGGUGUUAAGGUUAAUAACCUUAGCAAUUGACGUUAGCGACAGAAGAAGCACCGGCUAACUCCGUGCCAGCAGCCGCGGUAAUACGGAGGGUGCGAGCGUUAAUCGGAAUUACUGGGCGUAAAGGGCACGCAGGCGGUUAAUUAAGUUGGAUGUGAAAUCCCCGGGCUUAACCUGGGAAUGGCAUUCAAGACUGGUUAGCUAGAGUCCUGUAGAGGGGGUAGAAUUCCAUGUGUAGCGGUGAAAUGCGUAGAGAUGUGGAGGAAUACCGGUGGCGAAGGCGGCCCCUGGACAAAGACUGACGCUCAUGUGCGAAAGCGUGGGGAGCAAACAGGGAUUAGAUACC